rnacentral:rRNA from 1 species
UGGGGAAUUUUGGACAAUGGGCGAAAGCCUGAUCCAGCAAUGCCGCGUGUGUGAAGAAGGCCUUCGGGUUGUAAAGCACUUUUGUCCGGAAAGAAAUCCUUGGCUCUAAUACAGUCGGGGGAUGACGGUACCGGAAGAAUAAGCACCGGCUAACUACGUGCCAGCAGCCGCGGUAAUACGUAGGGUGCAAGCGUUAAUCGGAAUUACUGGGCGUAAAGCGUGCGCAGGCGGUUUGCUAAGACCGAUGUGAAAUCCCCGGGCUCAACCUGGGAACUGCAUUGGUGACUGGCAGGCUAGAGUAUGGCAGAGGGGGGUAGAAUUCCACGUGUAGCAGUGAAAUGCGUAGAGAUGUGGAGGAAUACCGAUGGCGAAGGCAGCCCCCUGGGCCAAAUACUGACGCUCAUGCACGAAAAGCGUGGGGGAGCAAACAGGAUUAGAUACCCCUGGUAGUCCACGCCCUAAAACGAUGUCAACUAGUUGUUGGGGAUUCAUUUCCUUAGUAACGUAGCUAACGCGUGAAGUUGACCGCCUGGGGAGUACGGUCGCAAGAUUAAAACUCAAAUGAAUUGACGGGGUCAUAGCUGUUU